UUUCAGAUUCUGAGUGCAAGCGUUCGAAAGGAAGCUUUGUCCCGAUCACAUUAUCACCAGUACUGCUGCACUUUGGUCUGUUAUCAAGGGUUACUUGUUUGUUUCUAUGUAAAUAUUCAUAUAGAGAAAUUGGUAACUCAACCUAAUCCAGAAUAGCAAAACAGAAAGAAGAACUUACAAGUAAAUAUAUUUUUCUAAAAUCUUCAUAACAUGCUUAAGUUUCUCAUAAUGCAAUUUCCAUAACAUGCAUGUUACCAUUUGCCAAUCAUAACUCAGAUAGGGUUAAUAACUUACAUGAAGGUGAACCUUUUCUUUUGACUGAGAUCCAACAGAACUUCAGACUACAGUGGGUACACACACUUCUUCCUGCGAAGACUGACCUUCGCAGUCUUACUGACCUUCUCCAUUGGCACUGCUGCUGGAUCCCCUCCUACUGACAGUGGUGUUCUUCAAUAUCUGCAAGAAAACAAACCAUAUUUAGAGCUUGUUCAGGAAAGAAAGCUGACACCCAGGCAAAAUCAACCUACAACUACGUUGUCAGCCAUAAGACAGAAAGCAUCAAGAAGUGUGACAAUAUAUACAUAUAAAUUAGAGAGAGAGAGAGAGAGAGAGCAGUCGGAUUCAAUCAAGUUAGAGCACAUGAUGCUACUGGUAACAAAUAAAUUACUCCAGAACGGAUGCUUUGGGCAGAAUGUGCAUGCCAAACACAGCUAACAAAGACCAUAAUGCAACAAAAGCAGUGCAAGUUUCCAUCAAAGAAACAGACACUACUGUGCAAGUCACAUGAUAUGAUACAGAACUAGAUGACAAGGAAGCAUCCCACCAAAGUUUGAGGCAUUUCUUUAAUGAAAGAUCUAAUUUCCUUGACUAGAAGAAAGAAAACAGCUCGAUUACUUAGAGAUCCAACUCUCCACCACCCACCCAGAGUAGUACCCCUUCAAAGCCUCAGCAAGACGAGGAUGGCAGCGAUCGCUGCAGAGUUUUUCUGAGAAGCAAAUGACUCCAGUAAUAUGCGAUGCCACCAUGUUGGAAAACGGAUAAAGAAGAAAAUGAUGUCACGGCUUACUGUGGUCGACAAAGGGACACGUCUGGGGGCAGGACUAAGACCAGAACCUAGAACGGCAGCUGCAGUUAAUUACCCAAAAUACCCCUCAUUAGAUGGUACUCUCGUAUCAGCCUAUCCUGAGACUCUGAUAUUUCUUUUUAAAGUGGAUAAUUUAUACAGAUGUAAUAGGAUAUAUUCGAUAGAGUUAGAAAAUGAUCUCUCUCUCUCUCUNN
rnacentral:lncRNA from 1 species